UACGGAGGGUGCAAGCGUUAAUCGGAUUUACUGGGCGUAAAGCGCACGUAGGUGGUUUGUUAAGUCGGAUGUGAAAUCCCCGGGCUCAACCUUGGAACUGCCUUUGAUACUGGCUAUCUUGAGUAUGGGAGAGGUGAGUGGAACUCCGAGUGUAGAGGUGAAAUUCGUAGAUAUUCGGAAGAACACCAGUGGCGAAGGCGACUCACUGGCCCAUUACUGACGCUGAGGCUCGAAAGCGUGGGGAGCAAACAGGAUUAGAUACCCCGGUAGU
rnacentral:rRNA from 1 species